AUACGGAGGGUGCAAGCGUUGUUCGGAAUUAUUGGGCGUAAAGCGCGUGUAGGCGGUUGGUUAAGUCUGAUGUGAAAGCCCUGGGCUCAACCCGGGAAGUGCAUUGGAAACUGGCUAACUUGAGUACGGGAGAGGGUAGUGGUAAUUUCGAGUGGUAGGGGUGAAAUCCGUAGAUAUUCGAAGGAACACCGGUGGCGAAGGCGGCUACCUGGACCGAUACUGACGCUGAGACGCGGAAGCGUGGGGAGC
rnacentral:rRNA from 1 species